rnacentral:misc_RNA from 1 species
GAUGAAGAACGUAGCGAAAUGCGAUAAGUAAUGUGAAUUGCAGAAUUCAGUGAAUCAUCGAAUCUUUGAACGCACAUUGCGCCCGGCAGUAAUCUGCCGGGCAUGCCUGUCCGAGCGUCAUUUCACCCCUCGAGCCGCUUUUAGUGGAUCGGUGUUGGGGCACUACGGUAAAACGUAGGCCCUGAAAUGAAGUGGCGGUCCCGCCGCGGUGCCCCCAUGCGUAGUAACGUUUAGUCUCGCAUCGGGUCCCGGCGGAGGCCUGCCGUCAAGCCUAUUUAUUCUCAGAAUAGUUUGACCUCGGAUCAGGUAGGGUUACCCGCUGAACUUAAGCAUAUCAAAAGCGGAGGA